rnacentral:rRNA from 1 species
UGGGGGAUAUUGCACAAUGGGCGAAAGCCUGAUGCAGCGACGCCGCGUGGGGGAUGAAGGCCUUCGGGUUGUAAACUUCUUUUGCUCUGAACAAGGCAUGUCUUUGGGGUGUGUUGAGUGUAGGGGUUGAUUAGCGCCGGCUAACUACGUGCCAGCAGCCGCGGUAAUACGUAGGGCGCGAGCGUUGUCCGGAAUUAUUGGGCGUAAAGUGCUUGUAGGUGGCUGGUUGCGUCUGUCGUGAAAGCUCAUGGCUUAACUGUGGGUUUGCGGUUGGUACGGGGUGGAUUGGGUGCAGUAGGGGAGGCUGGAAUUCCUGGUGUAGCGAUGGAAUGCGCAGAUAUCAGUAGGAAAACCGGUGGCGAAGACGGGUCUUUGGGCUGUUACUGACGCUGAGGAGCGAAAGCGUGGGGAGCGAACAGG